rnacentral:pre_miRNA from 1 species
AGAAGAGGAGGACAUGGCGUGGUAUUGGCUCGGCUCAUCCCUUUCGGAUUAAUCAUACUCGAGCACGAGGCGAGCCGAACCAAUAUCACUCAUGUAUUCUUCAUU